ACACCUCACUACUAUAACUUUAUUGUUAUGAUAGUGGAUUUGGAAUGCGCUGGUGUUAGUCAGCCCUUCUAAAAUGGAGUUCUUGCACUGUUGAUUUGUUUUAACAGCAACGUUGGCCUAAUAAGUUUCAGCAGCAAUGUUGAAAUCACUGGCUUUUUUUGCUUAGAAUCGGACAGUCUUGAUAUACAGAAUUUUUGAGGUGACUUUUGUCUCCUCUUCAAAUU
rnacentral:misc_RNA from 1 species